CGUAUUAGCGAAACGCUCGGUCACGUUCACCGAAAUCCGCAGGACAUCGCAGGAAGCGAUUCAUCAGGACGAUGAAAAGGAAUACAGGGACUAGGGAAAAAGUGGGCGGGUCAUACCGCCCCUUUUUUU
rnacentral:sRNA from 1 species